AGACGAACCCGAGCGCUCCCACCGAGCUGCCUGCCAUGGGGCUGGGGCUGCUGCUCCCGCUGCUGCUGCUCUGGACUCGGGGGACUCAGGGGUCCGAGCUGGACCCCAAAGGGCAGCACGUCUGUGUGGCCAGCAGGUGGGUCUCGUGGGAGUCUGAUGCGUGUGGCCAGCAGCCCCUCUGCUGAGCUGCAGUGCUGCGCAGGCUGGAGGCAGAAGGAUCAAGAAUGCACCAUCCCCAUCUGUGAGGGGCCGGACGCCUGCCAGAAAGACGAGGUGUGUGUGAAGCCGGGCCUCUGUCGAUGCAAGCCUGGAUUCUUUGGGGCCCACUGCAGCUCCCGCUGCCCGGGCCAGUACUGGGGCCCCGACUGCCGUGAGAGCUGCCCCUGCCACCCGCACGGCCAGUGCGAGCCAGCCACGGGCGCGUGCCAGUGCCAGGCCGACCGCUGGGGAGCCCGCUGCGAGUUCCCGUGCGCCUGCGGCCCCCACGGGCGCUGCGACCCCGCGACCGGCGUGUGCCACUGCGAACCCGGCUGGUGGUCGUCCACGUGCCGCCGCCCGUGCCAGUGCAACACCGCGGCGGCGCGCUGCGAGCAGGCCACGGGCGCCUGCGUGUGCAAGCCGGGCUGGUGGGGGCGCCGCUGCAGCUUCCGCUGCAACUGCCACGGCUCCCCGUGCGAGCAGGACUCCGGCCGCUGCGCCUGCCGGCCGGGCUGGUGGGGUCCCGAAUGCCAGCAGCAGUGCGAGUGUGUGCGGGGCCGCUGCAGCGCCGCCUCCGGCGAGUGCACCUGCCCGCCCGGCUUCCGCGGAGCGCGCUGCGAGCUGCCCUGCCCGGCAGGCAGCCACGGGGUGCAGUGCGCACACAGCUGUGGCCGCUGCAAACACAAUGAGCCGUGCUCUCCAGACACAGGCAGCUGUGAGUCCUGCGAGCCGGGCUGGAACGGGACCCAGUGCCAGCAGCCCUGCCUGCCUGGCACCUUUGGCGAGAGCUGCGAACAGCAGUGCCCUCACUGCCGACAUGGGGAGGCCUGUGAGCCAGAUACUGGCCACUGUCAGCGCUGUGACCCUGGCUGGCUGGGGCCCAGGUGUGAAGACCCCUGCCCCACUGGUACCUUUGGGGAAGACUGUGGCUCUACCUGCCCCACCUGUGUUCAGGGGUCCUGUGAUACUGUGACAGGGGACUGUGUCUGCAGUGCCGGCUACUGGGGGCCCAGCUGCAACGCCUCCUGCCCAGCCGGUUUCCAUGGAAACAACUGCUCAGUUCCUUGUGAAUGCCCAGAGGGACUCUGCCACCCUGUCUCUGGGUCCUGCCAGCCAGGCUCUGGCAGUCGGGACACUGCCCUCAUCGCGGGCAGCCUUGUGCCUCUGCUGCUGCUCUUCCUGGGCCUUGCCUGCUGUGCCUGCUGCUGCUGGGCCCCCCGAUCAGACCUCAAGGACAGGCCAGCGAGAGAUGGAGCUACCGUGUCCAGGAUGAAGCUGCAGGUCUGGGGGACACUGACCAGCUUGGGCUCCACGCUGCCCUGCCGUUCCCUCAGCUCCCACAAGCUACCCUGGGUGACAGUCUCACAUCACGACCCGGAGGUCCCCUUCAACCACAGCUUCAUCGAGCCGCCCUCUGCCGGCUGGGCCACUGAUGACUCCUUCUCAUCCGAUCCUGAGUCUGGAGAGGCAGAUGAGGUUCCUGCCUACUGUGUGCCACCCCAAGAAGGGAUGGUCCCUGUGGCCCAGGCAGGGUCGUCAGAGGCCAGCCUGGCUGCAGGUGCUUUCCCGCCCCCUGAGGACGCCUCCACGCCAUUCGCCAUCCCGCGCACCUCCAGCCUAGCUCGGGCCAAGCGGCCAUCGGUCUCCUUCGCGGAAGGUACCAAGUUUGCACCACAGAGUCGCCGAAGCUCAGGGGAGCUCUCCAGCCCGCUCCGAAAGCCCAAGAGGCUCUCCCGGGGGGCGCAGUCGGGUCCUGAGGGCCGGGAAGCCGAAGAGUCCACAGGCCCAGAGGAAGCAGAAGCCCCCGAGUCCUUUCCGGCGGCUGCCAGUCCCGGGGAUUCAGCCACUGGCCACCGGCGGCCCCCACUUGGUGGCCGGACAGUGGCUGAGCACGUGGAAGCCAUUGAGGGCAGCGUCCAGGAGAGCUCGGGCCCUGUGACCACGAUCUACAUGCUGGCAGGGAAGCCCCGCGGAUCCGAAGGCCCUGUCCGCUCUGUCUUCCGCCAUUUUGGUAGCUUCCAGAAAGGCCAGGCGGAAGCCAAGGUCAAGAGGGCCAUCCCUAAGCCUCCGCGCCAGGCCCUGAAUCGGAAAAAGGGCAGCCCUGGCCUUGCCUCUGGCUCUGUCGGCCAGAGCCCCAACUCAGCCCCAAAAGCUGGGCUUCCUGGGGCCACAGGGCCUAUGGCAGUCAGACCAGAGGAAGCGGUCCGGGGGCUGGGGGCUGGCACCGAGAGUUCAAGGAGAGCCCAGGAGCCAGUCUCUGGCUGUGGCUCCCCAGAACAGGAUCCCCAGAAGCAGGCUGAAGAGGAAAGGCAGGAGGAACCUGAGUAUGAGAAUGUUGUACCCAUCUCCAGGCCACCAGAACCCUGAUGACCUUGAAUUUGGGGAGUGGGGAGAGUGGAUGGACUAGACUGUGCUGUGUGCUGGAAAAUGAUCCCGGGGCCAGGACAGACAAACCAGAGCCUCUGCGCCUCCACAGGGAAAAGGCAAGGCUUCCAGGCCAGUUGGCCCAGGCCCCUGGCAGUGCUCCCGGAGGGGCCCAGGAAGGCCUGGGCAGAGACCCUGUAGGAUGGGGUCAGGAAGGGUUGCCUGCAGGGACUUUUGCUCUGCUGUCCUGGACCCUGUGUGCCUCAUAAGGGCUAUUCUUUCUUUCACGUGCAAAACAUUUUUCUGAAAUAGCAAACAACCUACAUGUUUGCUGAUAAAAGAUUGGCUAAACAAAUUUUUUUUUUUUUUUUUGAGACAGAAUCUCCCUCUGUCCCCCAGGCUGGAGUGCAGUGGUGCGAUCUCGGCUCACUGCAAGCUCUGCCUCCCGGGUUCACGCCCUUCUCCUGCCUCAGCCUCCCGAGUAGCUGGGACUACAGGUGCCCUCCACCACGCUUGGCUAAUUUUUUUGUAUAUUUAAUAGAGACAGGGUUUCACCAUGUUAGCCAGGAUGGUCUCGAUCUCCUGACCUCGUGAUCCACCUGCCUCGGCCUCCCAAAGUGCUGGGAUGACAGGCAUGAGCCACCACGCCUGGUCUAUGAACUUUUUAAAAAGGAUGUAUGUGUAUAAAAACAGAUUCAAGGGAAAGGCACUAAAUGGUUUUUUCCUCUGGAAGAUGAGAUUGUAGGUGAUAUUUAUUUUCUUCUGAAACUUUUGUAUAGUUUGCAAAUUUUCUACAGUGAACAUUCUUUUUUACUUUUGUUACUAGAUUGAAUUUGAUAAAGUAUAAUAAAAAGCAAUGAUCUUUGUUAAAAAAAUAAAAAGUACUAACAUUACAGACAUGUA